UCAGCCAGAGAGGAAGAGAAAACUGAAUCAGGCUGCUGCCCUCGGACUUCAAGGGGGCAAAAGUCUUUGGAGGCAGCCUGGCCACCCAGCCCACUUCAUUUAAGAGAGUGAAGGGGCUUGGUUCCAGAGAAGACCAGGAAAGGAAUGGGAGUGAUAAGAACUAGGGAUAAACAAAGAUGAGAGCUGCCCACUGUCAGAGACAGGAAUGAAAAGGAUUUGCUCUGAGCAUCAAUGGAUAAACUGUUCUGUUUGGAAUAACCAUGGAUCCCGCUAUGGAAACCUUAUAGUAUUCCAGAGUUUUGAUGCAAUCAGAACAAUGUAAAUCAUCAAAAGGAACAUGUAGAGAAUGUCAUGGUAGAUAAAGACUCCCUCUUGUAACUGGGCUUGGUACAGGACAUCAUGACUAGUAAAUGUGGGAGAUUUAUGUCAUCUGCAAAAUUUGAUGAGUGUGUCAUCUAUAACUUUACCCAAAUCAUUGAUUUUUUAAAAAAAAAAAAGUUAAGCAGGACCAAAGACAGCUCCUUGGAGAUACUCCAGUGAAGACCUUCUGCUAUAUUGUCACUGGAUCAUUAACAAGAGAAGCACAAAGAAGAGAAGAAGUCUACAAGGUAAAUGAGUAUUCUGAGAUGGAAGGGACCUGAUACAACCCAGCAAAUAGCUGGGCAGAAGAGUGAUUUGCCCAUCAUUAAUACCAAACCCUGUGUUGAACUUCAUGAGGACUCCACAAAGAAAGAGGACUCUCAGAGCCAGUAGUCAUGAGACACCCGUGGGCCUCAUAUGCAUUUUGCUACCUUUGUACUUCGAGUUUCAACCUAUUCUUACCAUCAACUUUGCAUAUACAGAGAGAGAGUGAGCACCCCAUGUUGGUAGGAAUGUUUUAUACAAAUUGUUAUUCCUUCUCAGCAAAUUUCUUUUGAGGGGAAAUAUUUUUCAUACCAUCUUAGUAAAGUUCUUAAAGAAGAUGAAGUUCAACUGGUUGAUUGAUACUGGGGACCACACUGCUGGGGGCUCAGGAGCCGUAGUGCUAGAUGCUGAAAAGAGAAUCUUGAAAGGAGAAGUAGCACCCACUCUCUGGGAACCACUUGACAAUACUGGAAAUCAUUUUCACCCAGAAGAAUGAGGGAAGACUUCACCUAAAGGGAAUCUCCACUGGGCUUUGAAGAGAGAGAAAGAUCAUAUAUUUCAAGGUAUAAGGUACUUUAAAGAUCAUUUUGUCUGAUAAUUUCUCAACCUGCUCAGGCUAAGAUUAAGUGGAGAUAAUCUUAUCCAACCAUUUCAUACAAAACUAAGAUCUAGGUAGUUUAAGUGACUUGCCCAAGGUCAUACAGGUUAGUAAGAUGCAGGAUUUGAACCCAGGCCUUCUAUCCCUAGUACUCUUUCCAUUAAAUUAUGUGAAGUAGAAAUGAGACAUAAGUGUCUUCCAGGCAUGGGGAGCAGCUAGCAUGAGUACAUGAAGAUAGGAGAGGGCAGAGGAAAAUUGGGGACCAGCUAACAGUUUGGCUAGAAUGUAAGUUAUGAAAUGACAAUGUGUGAAAUAAGUCUGGAAAUGACUUUUGGUAUCAGAUUUUGAAGGGUCUUAAAUGUCAGGAUGAAGAGUUUGUCUUUCAUCCUAGAGGCAACAGAGAACCACUGAAGAAGGGGAAUGCUUCCAUUAAUUUUUUUAUCAGCUGCAUGAAGAAUAGACUGGAGAGUGUCCAAACUGAUGGUAGCCAGACCACUUAUGAAGUUAAUAUGAUAUUCCAAGCCAGAGGCAAUGCGGAUGCAAGUUAGGGUGAUGGCCAUGUUACUGGAGAGGAGCAGAUGGAUAUAUGAGAUGCUUUAGCAAAAGAAUCAACAGAUUUUGGCAACUGCUUGGACAUAGUUGGUAUGGGAGCCAGCAGAAUGAAAGAUGACUUCCAAUUCCCUGAACAGGAGUGAAGAGGUUAAGAGUGAAAUGCAAGUCAGAAAAAAAAUCAAAGUUAUGAUCACUCUCAUCAUGCCUUGUGUGACAUCAUCAGAUACUAUGCACUGGCUUAGCUUAUGUCUAUACUUCACCCUGGGUCCUAAUGAGAGGAGGUGGUCUUGUUAAUAACAGUAAUAAUAAUAAAGGUAUAACUUUACUCUGCA